ensembl:lncRNA
ACAGUAUCACAGAAUCACAGAAUGGCCUGGGUUGGAAGGGACCUCAAGGAUCAUGAAUCUCCAACCCCCCUGCCGGGCAGGGCCACCAACCUCCCCAUUUACUAGACCAGGUUGCCCAGGGCCUCAUCCAACCUGGCCCUGAACAACUCCAGGGAUGGGACAUCUACAACCUCUCUGGGCAUCCCGUUCCAGCACCUCACCACUCUCCUGGUAAAGAACUUCCCUCUAACAUCCAACCUAAAUCUUCCCUCUUUCAACUUAAAACCGUUCCCCCUUGUCCUGCUGUUAUCUACCCUUUCAAAGAGUUUACUCCCUUCUUGUUUAUAGGCUCCCUUCAGGUACUGAAAGUCUGCAAUGAGGUCACCCUGCAGCCUUCUCUUCUCC